GAAAAUGGAGCCAUUGACGAAGACCAGGAAAAGAAAAUUAAAGGAAAGUAUAUUUAAUUUUAGUCUAAUUAUAAUUUUAGUUCUAUUACAGUAGCAGGCCUUACCAAGUUCCAGUCAGUCACAGAACAUGAAGAUUGUUUCAUUGAAGAUAGGAAAUGAGUAGCAUAUACUAUGAAGAAGAUGUUAACAGCAAAGACCCGAAAAUGGAGCCAUUGACGAAGACCAGGACAAGAUGCUUAAAGUAGCAGGCCUUACCAAGUUUCAGUCGCAGAAGAUGAAGAUUAUUUCAUUGAAAAUUGGAGAUAAAUAACAUCUCCAAGGAAGAUUAAUUAUUACAUUAAUCUUCACCCAAGUCUGAGGCCAUGACAUGAAAGAAAUAACGUUAUAUUAGUGCCAAUGUUUUCAUGAAUGGGGAGUAAGACUUGGUGGUAUAAUAUUUCUAAUAUACAAAUACUAUGAAGAAGAUGUUUACAGCAAAGACCCUGAAAAUAGAGCCAUUGGCGAAGACCAGGACAAGAUGCUUAAAGUAGCAGGCCUUACCAAGUUUCAGUCGCAGAAGAUGAAGAUUAUUUCAUUGAAAAUUGGAGAUAAAUAACAUCUCCAAGGAAGAUUAAUUAUUACAUUAAUCUUCACCCAAGUCUGAGGCCAUGACAUGAAAGAAAUAACGUUAUAUUAGUGCCAAUGUUUUCAUGAAUGGGGAGUAAGACUUGGUGGUAUAAUAUUUCUAAUAUACAAAUACUAUGAAGAAGAUGUUUACAGCAAAGACCCUGAAAAUAGAGCCAUUGGUGAAGACCAGGACAAGAUGCUUAAAGUAGCAGGCCUUACCAAGUUUCAGUCGCAGAAGAUGAAGAUUAUUUCAUUGAAAAUUGGAGAUAAAUAACAUCUCCAAGGAAGAUUAAUUAUUACAUUAAUCUUCACCCAAGUCUGAGGCCAUGACAUGAAAGAAAUAACGUUAUAUUAGUGCCAAUGUUUUCAUGAAUGGGGAGUAAGACUUGGUGGUAUAAUAUUUCUAAUAUACAAGUAGGCUAGCAAUAAUUACUGCUUUUCAGUAUGGGUUGAGGUUUAGAAUGAUCAUUGGAGCUGACUUUUAAGGUUAGCAUUACAGCUUGUCCUUACAGAUUGAUGUUGGAAAUGGCCAUUGGAGUUGAAUUUUAAAGAUAACUAUUACUGUGGCUGAAGGAUAUAAUUGUUUGAUUAAUUCUCCGUAUCCCUCAGAGUUGUUGCAAAGGUUAUUAACAUGUAUGCAGCUUGGCACUCUACACAAGGCAUUGGAUUUAACGUCCCCAUUCUGACCGGACAUGGCUGCGAAUUCAUACAUCCUGCACUUCCAAACAGAAGCCCCACUGCCAGUCUGAAGAAGACCAAGCGUGACCAUAUUUCUAUUCCCCAGUCAUCCUUUGGGGUCUUUCUAACUUGAAGGAAAGGUUUCCAAUAGGAAUGGUUCAUAUAACUCUUGUUAAAACCAGUUAAAGAAUGUAUUUGAUAAAUUCUAAAUCAGAACUAAAACUACAGAAGAGUACAAAAUCCGCAAGUGAUAAUUUGCAUUUCACAAUUUGUGAAGCUAAUUGGAAGCACGUACCGUCUGUCGUUGCAAAGCCAUUUGGGAG